GAGUGGAAUGUCAGAAAAAGUGGUUUGGUUUCUAGUGUAUUAGGCAAGCUGUAGUAUGCAAAAGUAAUUUAGCCUGCCCUGAAACUCUUCAGUGUGAUGAAAAUUUUAUCAGUAGUGUGAAAAAGACAACUAUCCAGCCUACUCAUUUAGUCAGCUUACAUGUUUAUACACAGGGAAGAAAAAAAAUGGAUUUGCAAGUAUGACUUGGGUUUUCUCUCUACUGCUUUUGUUUUUCUGUUUCUUUUUUGCCAUAAAUGGUGUAUUUAGAAUUUAUGCUGUCUAAUCUCAGUUCCACUGGAGAUGCAAUUUUCACUUACAGGAGCUUUAAGUACAGUUAAGGCUGCCUUAAAAGCCUUAUAAGCCACUAUCAUAAUAAGCAAUUUGUUUAUUUUUAUUGCCAACCUGGAAAAAGAAAAUAUUUCCCAACAAACCACAACAGGAACAGAAAAAUAUUAAAAAACUGUAUCAAAAAACUUGUAUCAUGAAAAUUAUUAAUAUUUAAUUCAGGUUAAAGCUUUGCCAUUCCAAAUGUAGAAUGCACAGCUGUAUCUUCUUAUGUUAAAAUACUUAUUCAUGAACAGAGUAUAUGGUGUGUGAGCUGAACUGUUUCAUCCAGUCUGGUGAGUAAUUGUACUAUUUUUCCAUUGGACCAUUUCUUUUAUUUGAGCUGAAAAUGUUUUUCAGCCUUUUUGCAUAGUUUGGGUGUUUUGAUGUCCUUGUGCUUUUGGUAUUUCCUAGAAAGUUCCUUGAGUGUUGUUAAACAGUCUAGGACAAGCAAGCGAAGAUUUUUUUUCAGAGAAAAUGAUUUUGAAAACCUAAAAGAUAAUACUGAGAUUUUGAAAAGGGGAACUCUCGCUGGCCUCAAACUAUAGGUUUAUCUCCCUUCCCAUGUGGACAGCUAAAGAUUAUUUCCAAGUACAGACUGUAUGUCCUGUAAAAUAGAAAAAUGUUGCUGAUGAGAUGCAAUAUUGACAAAAUAUGGUCCCACAGCAGGGUGAAUGGGAGUAAGAGAGCUGAGCAGGGCUGUGUUGCUCAGUGCCUGGCUGCAGGGUGAGCCCAGCCUCGCAUGGCCAGAGAGGAGCCAUGGGCAGCUCCUGCCUGCUGACUAUCCCAGCUGCAUGGCCUUGCCUUUAUCUAGGGCUGCACCAACAAGCUCUCAUGUAAACAUCCUUUUUUUUUUUUUGGCAGUAGAAAUGAAACAUAGUUGUUUUCAUGGAAAAAAAUUCUGGUAAGGGCUGAAAUGAGCAGAGUGGUGUGGCCUUUCUAAGGAUGGCCUCUGUGCAGUGGCUGUGCCCUCGCUGGAGGCCUGUGCUGUGCUGCACAGCUUGGGCUUCCCAGUAUAUGAAAGGAUGUAAGGUUCUGUAUGAUCCUAGUUUUCUUACACUGUUAUCUGCCAUCACUAGUACACUGCUGCACAGAGUCCAAGUGCUUUUCUUUCUGGCAUAGUACUGAACCAACACCUCCUGCUGCAACAUGCAAAGCUCUUGACUGCCUGAAGUUGCUCACUACUGUUUCCUUCCUGCGUGGAUCUGUUCUGCUAUCUGCUGUUUUCUAAUUACAUUGCAUCUUUUUGUUUUCUUUGAACAUUUAAACUGUAACUCAGAGGACUGAGUCAGAAGAUUCUGUGCUGGAGGCAUGCAUCUUGAAACGUUUCUUGUACUGCAGUGCUUGCAAAGGCAUGAGGUUGAAAGACAAAUGAUAAGAGUUGUUCGCCUGUGUAAGGAACAGGCAGAAUGACAAGGGAGAGAGAGACUGAUGGUGGGGCAGAAGAGUUACCUUUCACCAGAAGCAGAUUUUAAUACUUGAGUAUUUUUCUAGUAGAAAGUCCAUUUCAGAAAUUUCCAUUGGUUCAUUUUCCUGUUGAGGGAUUUUAAUUUCAUGUCAGCUGCAAUGAUGAUGUUAUUCAGGAAUUCCUGUGAUUUAUAUAAAUGAAGAGAGCAUAGAAACAGUUGUUCCCAUCAAUGACUGCUAAAGUGUUAUGACCUACUGUACUCUUAUUUUACAUCUUCAUUCUACCUCAUUCUUCUGCUCUAUAGCUGAUAACUUGUUAUUAGCUCUUCAUGUACUUUACUGUUUCUCCUCCUCCAGAUUAUUUCAUAGCCUAACAUUGGAAAUUUAUCUCCAUAAUCAGGAGUGAGGUUGUUUC